AUGCAACCUAGGAUAAAACGAUAUUCGACAGUUCAAUCUUCUUUCAAUAUAUACAAAAAUAUUUGUCGAAGAGCGGGAUGGGAGGUGAGAUUUACCGAUAGCAGGUAAGUAUUUAAUAAUUAAAAUGAAUUUUACUUUAAAAAUGUGUUUUAAUGCCAUAAUACGUUACCUGCUAUCUAAUAACUGAAUUUGCAGCUGCGGUGGGAAGGUUUGCGUAUAGCUCCCCAAUCCCCAUCACAGCAGAACUCAUAACAAGAGUUAUUAGCUAAUGAUAGCAGAACCCAUAACCAGGGUUAUCAGUUAAUCUUCGUUAGUACGGUAUUGACUUUGACUCCUCGGAUAAGAGUAAGUAUGUCUAUGUCGUAAAAGACAAAACCGUUUGUGAAAGCCAAAGGAGGCCCAACACAUACAAGUUGUCUUGUUGGCACUCCAGAGAACGAUGAUAUAAAAGAGGAAAAUGUGGUCGGAUUCCUCCAGAAAGCAUCUUGGAGCACGUCAUAGAGUAGGGUGUGAUAAUAUAAGCCCACAAAGCUGACAGAGCUCGUAAGUCAUGAGGUCUCCUCGUAAUUCAUGCGGUCUGCUCUUAAAAAGGGACAAAUCUCUAGAUAAGAGAGAAGAGUAAGCCUUUUUUAGUCGAGGCUACCCAACUAAAAAUAGAAGUCGCAGACACAUCCUUCACCCAUUUUUGGGGGAAUGAACAGUCUCUUGCGAGAACCUCGAAUUGACUUAACUCUGCUGAGAUAGAACUUCAAAGCCCCGACUGGGCAGAUGAGUAUAUCUUCAUCUUCAAGAAAAACUUGGGAACUUGAAGCGUUAGAAGCCAUAGAGGGGAGUUGAUUUUUAGCAAGGAAUCCUGGCUGACACAACAAAUUGACGGAGCAAUUGGAUAAAAACGAAGAUGGCCGUCUUCGAUAGAAAGAGCAUGAAUUUUACUUCUCCGUUUGGCUGAAAAGAAGUAAAAUGCUCUUCUAGUUUAGGAACUGGUAAGAAGCCUUGGUUUUGGUACAGUUCGUGGAUGACUUUUUCCGAGCCAUCGUCAAUGAUGACUCAUCAUAAGAACCGUCCAUAGGCCAUCAUGUUACACACGGCCCUAAUCUUUCAUAAAGUCGAUACAUUUGCGGAAAAGCUCACGUCGGUGUUUAUAAGAGAAGCACGUGAACUGGACAAUCGCCGUUUUGCAACAACUAUAACUUCCUCUGUCUACUGUCUCGUACUAUUUUAGUCUCGAGUUGCACACUAUACCCAACGAUGUAUCGUAUGUUCUAUAUAAGUAUUUUCACGACAAAACUAUGGGGAUUCUUAAAUUUCAUAACUAUUCAAGUACAUUUAUUUAUUUCUUAAUUAAAUACUGAAAUUAGUUUUUUUCCUGUAAAAUUCGUAUCUAGAUCGAAAAUGUAUACAUAUUAUCGAAUUUAAUUUUUAUAAGGGCAUCGGUAUUAAUUGUUUUUAUGUAUUUUAUUAAUAUGACAUUUAUACCGAGUCAAAGAAAACGCUAUCUUAUAAAUAACGGCCAAUUUUCGUUGAAAUUGUGUGAACUUUGUAAUAUUAAAAAAAAACAAUGAACACUUUUUUAAGUGUCGCGUAAAACUGUCCAUAGAUCAAUCGAUCUCGAUUCAUAAAGACGUUUUUGACACUCGUCUUAAGCAGCCUGUUUUACCGAUUUUCGUCUUUUUGAAAAAGUACUUGAAUGAAAAUAAAUGCAAAACUGUAAAAGUGUAAAUAUUAAUUGUAAAUUUUAAACAUAUUUUAAUAUGUCAUUUGAAUCGAUCUCGAUACCUCUAAAAGCAAACAACUAAAGUGGUACAACUUCAGCACGAUGGUAUUUGAAUUUGGUCAGUAGUUUAAUCUCAAGUAAUAUGUAUUUUAUGAUGUUUCUUAGUCAUUAGUUCUGUUCUGCUGUUUGGUAUAUUGUUUGAUACGUAUAUUUUUAUUUAACUAUUUUCAUUUUGUUAACAAAAUAAUCACUUUGCAAAACUGUGAAUAAUCCCUUUUAAAUUAUGCAACCUAGGUUUUGUGAUCAAAUUUUUUAUAUAUUUUCUUUUUAAGAGGAUUGACAAUUACAAACAUGAUUCAUUCAUUGUUACAUGAUUGUCUGUCCUACUUAUAAAAUUCCCAUGCGUUUCUCUUUCGUGAACAGGAAAAGUCAUAAACAAAACCGUUCACUAAAACUUCCAUGUUAUUUAUAUCAAUGCAAAUUGUUAAUUCUUGAAAUUAUCAAUUUAUAACGAUUAGUUAAAAUAUAACAACUGUCUGUUGUAUGUAUGUGACGAGUUGUUAGACAAUUGGUGGGUCAUUUUCCUUUUACAAAGGACAUACUCUCGUAGUGAUAAUACAUUUUUGUUCUGCUGGUGCAACUGUAAAUGUAAUUGAACGUUAUUGAUAGGAAAAUGUCCUGUUUGUAAUGGACUGUUGUGAGUACGCUUCUUCUAAAAUUUAUCGCCGGUACACCUGACACUGUUCCCAACUUGAAGAUGAGUGUCGGUCGUGUUUCUAUAGAGGCUUUCAAGCUUUCAUGUUUGAUUUCUGGUGGGCAAGUUCAACAUUUGGAGUUUCAACGAAAAUAUUCAGUUUGAAACUAUUGCCGCAAUAGCAAUCAUCAAUAAGACAUGUGAAUAUAAAUCAACGGGUAAGGUACAGUGUUUAUGUCUGACAGCCAAUGAAGUUAUCUGUAUUAUCCCUGUACACCAGAACGAAAUAGAGCACUCAUGAAGAUGUUCCUCUUAAGUGCAUGGACAUCUGUCUGGAAGCAAUAUUGUUAAUGCAAGUGGCACCAGCCCAAAACCUUCCACGGUUAUCCACAUCUCGGAAGCAGUAACUACGUCUGAGAGAUACCAAUACAUUAGCUUUGGAAAUGAAAGACUGAUUACAACUUCUGUAAUUGAAGAAAAACCGGAAAGCGCCAAUAUCACCACGACAGGCAAUGCAAACAAUACGGCAGAAAUUAAUCGUCAAGAAAGUGAUAAAAAACCUGCCUCAAUGUCGAACAGACAGUUUAUGAUCAUAAUGGCAGUUGUGGGUGUAGCGAUUGUUAUUGGAACUAAUGCGUCCAUCUGCACCUAUUGGAGAAUGAAAAACCGUUCAAGAGUAGAACCACAAUCCUCGACGAUAAUGCUGAGCGAUAUAGAGACGACCACAGAAGAGAACACAGACGUUCAUUAUUAUGAAAUAGAGGACACACCAAGUCAUUUCAGUUAUGACGGUUCCACCGUGCCUAAAUCACUUAACACAAUAGAAGCAAUAGACCACUUCGAAAAUAUCUCACAAGUUCAGUACAAAAAUAUUGCCUUAACGUCAACAACUGAACUCACCAAUAUGAUCCAGAUAAAUACAAAGGGACACGAAGACAACACCUUGCAAACACGCGUCAUUGACAAAAUAAUAUUUACCAGAUACCGUGCAAACUCAGUACAGAGGCCUCUGCAUCCAAUAGCAGCAACAUCUUAAGAACAGCACAAGUACAUGGUGGUUUUAUGACAUUAGUCGAUAUCAACAUUUUUGGCGGUGCUUUUGCGGAUUCAGAUGGCCCUCACGAUCCACCUUGCAACAGGAUCAACAUGAAAUGCUGUCAUUACGAAAAUCUUGACCCAACCGGACGGGAUGGAAACUCACAGUACACCACACUGGUUUGAAGCAUGAAUAAAACCAAAUAAAUAUCCGUAUGGUGUUUUGAUUUUCUGUUGAUUGAAGAUUUUAAUUAUUUAUUAUUUAUUUAUGCAACUUUAUUUUUCUUUGAUACCGUGGAAUUUAAAGUUUUCAACGGAAUAGAACAUUGUUUUGUAUUUAUAUACAUAUAAAUAAGCGGCAUCGUAUGUAUCCUUGCGGCAAGCCUCGCCGUAAAAAUAUGCUUAGCCUUUCCUGAUAUAUUACAAAAAGAUCAGGCAGUAACCUGUUAUUCUAUAUAUAUGACUAACGAUAAUUAUCUUGUAUGCUUGUAUUAUACUCACAACAACUGACUGACUUCUGAUUUAAGUUUAAGCGCUAGAUUCGGGAGAUUUAGAAGGCAAUAAAAGAAAAUGUACCAAUAUUGUUCACAACAGAAACAUAGAUAUCAUCUCUUUUCUUAUUUCAAACGUUUCCCUUUAUGUGGUGUGUGGUAUUCUUUAACAACCGCGACCUUUCCUCUAUCACGUUGAGUCACUUAAUCUAAACAAUGCACAAUUGAAUUAUAUGCUGACUUUAUAUACUGACUUCAUGGACAAUGUGCUGUACCUGCAUCUUUAUUUUGUCACAAUCUUCAAUUAUACUGUACAAUGACUUCAACACCAUUUUAUUAAAGAUUAAAAUCCUGACCACAAUAUGUAUACCAUGUAUG